UACGAAGGGGGCUAGCGUUGUUCGGAAUCACUGGGCGUAAAGCGCACGUAGGCGGCUUCUUAAGUCAGGGGUGAAAUCCUGGAGCUCAACUCCAGAACUGCCUUUGAUACUGGGAAUCUCGAGUCCGGGAGAGGUGAGUGGAACUGCGAGUGUAGAGGUGAAAUUCGUAGAUAUUCGCAAGAACACCAGUGGCGAAGGCGGCUCACUGGCCCGGUACUGACGCUGAGGUGCGAAAGCGUGGGGAGCAAACAGG
rnacentral:rRNA from 1 species